CGACACUAACAAUCCUUCGGGUGCGUUAAUGGGCGUCGAGCGGCGGACGGGUGAGUAAUGCCUAGGAAAUUGCCUUGAUGUGGGGGAUAACCAUUGGAAACGAUGGCUAAUACCGCAUAAUGCCUACGGGCCAAAGAGGGGGACCUUCGGGCCUCUCGCGUCAAGAUAUGCCUAGGUGGGAUUAGCUAGUUGGUGAGGUAAUGGCUCACCAAGGCGACGAUCCCUAGCUGGUCUGAGAGGAUGAUCAGCCACACUGGAACUGAGACACGGUCCAGACUCCUACGGGAGGCAGCAGUGGGGAAUAUUGCACAAUGGGCGAAAGCCUGAUGCAGCCAUGCCGCGUGUAUGAAGAAGGCCUUCGGGUUGUAAAGUACUUUCAGUUGUGAGGAAGGGGGURNNGUUAAUAGCKNYAUCUCUUGACGUUAGCAACAGAAGAAGCACCGGCUAACUCCGUGCCAGCAGCCGCGGUAAUACGGAGGGUGCGAGCGUUAAUCGGAAUUACUGGGCGUAAAGCGCAUGCAGGUGGUUCAUUAAGUCAGAUGUGAAAGCCCGGGGCUCAACCUCGGAACUGCAUUUGAAACUGGUGAACUAGAGUACUGUAGAGGGGGGUAGAAUUUCAGGUGUAGCGGUGAAAUGCGUAGAGAUCUGAAGGAAUACCAGUGGCGAAGGCGGC
rnacentral:rRNA from 1 species